CAGUCGCCGCGGGAAUACGUAGGGUGCAAGCGUUAAUCGGAAUUACUGGGCGUAAAGCGUGCGCAGGCGGUUAUAUAAGACAGAUGUGAAAUCCCCGGGCUCAACCUGGGAACUGCAUUUGUGACUGUAUAGCUAGAGUACGGCAGAGGGGGAUGGAAUUCCGCGUGUAGCAGUGAAAUGCGUAGAUAUGCGGAGGAACACCGAUGGCGAAGGCAGCCCCCUGGGCCAACACUGACGCUCAUGCACGAAAGCGUGGGGAGCAAACAGGAUUAGAUACCCCUGUAGUCCCUGUCUCUUAUAC
rnacentral:rRNA from 1 species